rnacentral:rRNA from 1 species
UAUCAAAAACAUAACCAUGAGUUAUUAUUUAUGGCGUUUUCUGCUCAAUGAAUUUUUAAAUAGCCGCAGUACUCUGACUGUGCAAAGGUAGCAUAAUCAUUUGGCUUAUAAUUGAAGUCUGGAAUCAACGAAUACAUGGGGAAUCGCUGUAUCACUAGUGUAUUAUGAAAUUAAUUAUUACGUGAAAAUGCGUAUUAUUAAAUAAUAGACGAGAAGACCCUAGAAAUUUUUACAAAUUAAAAACAGUGUGUUUUUGCUGGGGCGGCAAGGUAACAAGUAACCUACCUUAAUAUAUUAUAAAAUUAUUUUAAGAAAAAUUAAAUUACUCUAGGGAUAACAGCAUAAUUUAUUAAAGUUUGUGACCUCGAUGUUGGAUUAGGAAAUUGAAGUUCAAAAGAUAUACAAAUAUGCUCUGUUCGAGCAAUCAACUCCUACGUGAUCUGA